rnacentral:rRNA from 1 species
UACGGAGGGGGCAAGCGUUAAUCGGAAUCACUGGGCGUAAAGGGCGCGUAGGCGGCCUAGCAAGUCUGGUGUGAAAGCCCAGGGCUCAACCCUGGAAGGGCACUGGAAACUGUUAGGCUUGAGUUCCGGAGAGGAGGGGGGAAUUCCCGGUGUAGCGGUGAAAUGCGUAGAUAUCGGGAGGAAUACCGGUGGCGAAGGCGCCCCUCUGGACGGAAACUGACGCUGAGGCGCGAAAGCGUGGGGAGCAGACAGG